rnacentral:rRNA from 1 species
UACGUAGGGUGCGAGCGUUAAUCGGAAUUACUGGGCGUAAAGCGUGCGCAGGCGGUUUUGUAAGCCAGAUGUGAAAGCCCCGGGCUCAACCUGGGAAUGGCAUUUGGGACUGCAAGGCUUGAGUGCGGCAGAGGAGACUGGAAUUCCUGGUGUAGCAGUGAAAUGCGUAGAUAUCAGGAGGAAUACCGAUGGCGAAGGCAGGUCUCUGGGCUGACACUGACGCUCAUGCACGAAGGCGUGGGGAGCAAACAGG